AAGCCCGUUUGGCGAGGAUACGAAUAGCCAAGACAGGAACCUCCAAUGCCUUCCUCCAUAGCAAACGCAAUGGCCUGUUCAACGAAGCUCUGGAGUUCACGCAACUUCCAUACAAGAUGAACCUUUCAGAACAGAGUUCCACUGAGGAGGAGCAGCUGUUAACCAAGUCCACCUCUCUACUAGAGAGCCAGCACCACCACCUGCUGCACUGUCUGGAGAAA